rnacentral:tRNA from 1 species
UGCGGGAUCGUCUAAUGGUAGGACGACAGCCUUUGGAGCUGUCUAUCUAGGUUCGAAUCCUAGUCCCGCAG